GCCUGGGUGGCGGAAUUGGUAGACGCGCUAGACUCAAAAUCUGGUGAGGGCAACUUCGUGUGGGUUCGAGUCCCACCCCAGGUACAA
rnacentral:tRNA from 1 species